UUCAGACGAUGCGUCAUGCAUAUCAAUAAGCGGAGGAAAAGAAACUAACUAGGAUUCCCUCAGUAACGGCGAGUGAAGCGGGAAGAGCUCAAAUUUGAAAUCUUCAAGGUUCUACCUUGACGAAUUGUAGUUUAAAGAAGUGUUUUCUGUUGGAGUUUUGGUAAAAGUUCUUUGGAAUAGGACAUCAUAGAGGGUGAGAAUCCCGUAUUUGACCAUUAUUUCCAGCUUUGUGAUACACUUUCAAAGAGUCGGAUUGUUUGGGAAUGCAGUCCAAAAUGGGUGGUAAAUUUCAUCUAAAGCUAAAUAUUGGCGAGAGACCGAUAGCGAACAAGUACCGUGAGGGAAAGAUGAAAAGAACUUUGAAAAGAGAGUUAAACAGUACGUGAAAUUGUCAAAAGGGAAGCGUUUGACACCAGUGUUGUUUUCUCGAAAAUCAAUUAAAAAAGGCAGGAUUUUGUGUUGUAUUGACUUUAUCAGCUUUCUGCACUCUUUUCUUGUCUUUUUUUAAUGCACUUUUCGUUUAACAAGUCAACAUCAAUUUCUUUUGUUGUAAAAGGGUCAUUGGAAGGUGGCUUUCUUUUCGGAGAAAGUGUUUAUAGCCUUUGGCCUCUGCAAUCGGAGAGAUUGAGGUCUGCAGCGUAGAUCCUUCGGGGUUAGAUACAUUUGUGCUAAGUUAUAGCCUUUCAUAGACAACUUGUUGACUAUGAUCAGUCAUGUAGCUUACUCGCUUAUGCUAUUUUACCUACGCUUAGGAUGUUGAUCUACAGAGCGAGAGU
rnacentral:rRNA from 1 species